UAGCUCCCUACCAAAGCAAACGCAGUCGGAAAGGGCUGGGAGCUCCUCGCUUUGUGCUGGUGACAGAGGUCCCCAAAUCCUGGCAGCUCCUGGCCAUGAAAACCCACAAACCUCAACCUGGCAAGUCAACUUAGACAACAUGUAACAGUCCCGGAAUGAUUUCAUCACAUUCACCUUGCUAGGUUACCACAAAUGAAGCGUUCCGGGCUGUUUUCCAUUCAUCUACAAAGGAGCUGCAUCAUGUCAGCAGCGUUUUUCCCCUGGCGAGCUGAGGUCUGUUAGCAUUUCAGGUCUGUGCGGCUGCUGGGAGGAUUUCGGGCACUGGGUCAAAGCUUCAGAGCUCCAGCACGUGGCACGUGCCUGGGCAUCCAACAGCAAUGUGUGAAAGCACACGUGGUUAUGCACGGCAUUAGAAAUCCGUGGGUUUACACCUCAGCUGAGAACAUACCAGUCGAUGGUAUGACCAGUUCAUUCAGCUUCCUUAGAUCAGUAGGAAACAUUCCCCAGCGCUGAACUGGAGCCGUUUGGAGCACUGGAGCUCAGUGAGUGCUGUAGUUUGCAUCAGAGAGCAUCCUGGAGAAAAGCAGUCAAAUGGAUCUUAAAAAGAAGAAAGCAAGCAGGGUAACUCAGCCAGGCUGCUCUCCUGCUCCUCCCUGCCAAGUCAAGGAGGGGCUGCGUGCAGUCUUUCCCCCUUCGUUAAGAGCUGAGCACUAAUUGGGCCGCGGUGCGGAGCGCAGCUGGCAGGCAGCACCACAGCUGUGGUUCUGCAUCAUAAAGCAGAGGCAGAACGUUCUGGGAAGGGAGGGCUGGGUGCGGGGGGGAACAUGAAGUGAAACAAAACUUUCUGUGGACAGGGUCAGGAAAGCAGGGCAGCGAGGAGCAGAGUGGAAGAUGUUCGUUCCCGGGGAGCAAUGGCGUUCAUCCAGUGAGACAAACACCACCGGGUGACAUCGCACGGCAGAAAGGGGAUGGCAUCACAAAGUGAGAGGAGGGCACUGAAAAAUAACAGCGAAAUCUUGCGUGCUUCAGAGAACAGAACUUUGGGGACAGGCAUUACGCGUUCCUUAAAGAGCCACGUCAGAAGUCUUGCUGGCUGCAGACAGAGCCUCGCUUCUUAAGACUUGCAAUGUCGAGCAGAGGCCACGAGGGUUGCAAUGGGAGAAAGAGCCGUGGAAGGCUCGUGAUAAUACGGUUCCUAAACUGGGGCCAAAUCAAACGCAUUGAGCUCCGGCAGCUGUGCCAAUUAAAUCUCACUCAAUUUGCUGAA